UACGUAGGGGGCGAGCGUUGUCCGGAUUUAUUGGGCGUAAAGAGCGUGUAGGCGGCUUGGUAGGUCUCGCGUCAAAACCUGAGGCUCAACCUCAGUUCGCGUGGGAAACCACCUAGCUAGAGUCCGGAAGGGGAGAACGGAAUUCCCAGUGUAGCGGUGAAAUGCGCAGAUAUUGGGAAGAACACCAGUGGCGAAGGCGGUUCUCUGGGACGGUACUGACGCUGAGACGCGAAAGCGUGGGGAGCGAACAGG
rnacentral:rRNA from 1 species